GUAGGUGGCAAGCGUUGUCCGGAAUUAUUGGGCGUAAAGCGCGCGCAGGCGGUCCUUUAAGUCUGAUGUGAAAGCCCACGGCUCAACCGUGGAGGGUCAUUGGAAACUGGGGGACUUGAGUACAGAAGAGGAAAGCGGAAUUCCAAGUGUAGCGGUGAAAUGCGUAGGGAUUUGGAGGAACACCAGUGGCGAAGGCGGCUUUCUGGUCUGUAACUGACGCUGAGGCGCGAAAGCGUGGGGAGCAAACAGGGAUUAGAUACCCUGGUAGUCCACGCCGUAAACGAUGAGUGCUAAGUGUUAGGGGGUUUCCCGCCCCUUAGUGCUGCAGCUAACGCAUUAAGCACUCCGCCUGGGGAGUACGGCCGCAAGGCUG
rnacentral:rRNA from 1 species